UAUUCUUUCUUUCUUCAGUUCCAUUUUUUCCAACGUGGAUUUUUGAAAAAUUAUCGUAUCAUCCGCACGAUUCUCUCCAGAGGGCAGAAGUUUCGCGGCCUAAUAUUAUAUUUCGGUGGAGACCCUAUCGGAGAGCGAUGGAAAUAACUGUCACAGAAGACAAUUUAUGUUAAUGACUGUUCCUGGGUCCGAGGAGAGGCGCGAGGCCGGUCCAGUCUGCAGGCCUCCGUGGAGCGGAUCGGACAUUGCUGUCGUCGCUGUCGUCGCUCUCUCGCACGCCGGAUUUUACCCCUCCCCCAACGUCGGGGCAACCCCUCUUUGAUCCCCCUCUUCGUUUCAACCCCGCAAUGGCGACGCCCCGCGUCGAUCCGAGUGUCCGCCACGCAAACUCGCGGGAUCCACGAACCAUGGCGCUUGUGCGUGACCCGUUUCAUCGUCGGAAAAUGCGUCGUGCUUAUUUCUUGUCGAGAUUCAGAAUGUCGUUCGUGAUAUUAGUGAUCAAGAAUAAUCGUCGAAGUGACUUGUACUUGAAAUAGAAUUCUUAUUCCAUUUUUCCUUCUUCUUUCGAACGUAAGUGUUUAAAAGAAGAGUAAGAGGGGAGAGAAGAGAGGGCUAUGUGGUGCUGCGACGUUUGAGGAGAGAAGAGGAUAUUCUGUAUGCCGAGAACGUUAAAAUGGAUCCCUCGGAUGGAAGUGAAUGAGUUUUUGAUCGAGGGAAUUAAUUGGAUCCCCUCCUUUCCUCUUUUAAAUUGGAACAAUCGCUUGGUGGAAAGAUCGGUGUACCUUUUAAACGAUAUUGAUCGCAUAAAAUGGUGCUGCCGCCGCCGCCUGUGACGACGAUGCCCGUGGCUGGCUCGAGGGGAGAGAACGGAGGGAGGGAGACGGUCAUCGAUUGGAGAGGAAACGUGGGAAACGCGAUUGCUUUCAACGGAAGCUACAGCAGCGAUGUCUCGUUCGAUCGAAAGGAGGAAUCGAGAAGGAAGGGAGAAAUUUAUUCGGAUACCCUUUGAAGAACGCUCUCUGCGAGAAACUCUUCGCUCUUCUCGCCCACCAGAUUCCGCCACCAGUUACGCGCCAUUCGCCGCCGCCGCCCACGCAACUCCAAUCCUCCUAUUCUCCACCUAGCUUUCUCGACUAGUUUCGGUUGGACCGUACACACGGUGCGUCCGUUACGGGACAAGUUUCGUUACGGAGGGCGCGGUUUGACCGAGGAAAAUUUCGUAAUCGCAAGUAUCCGCGGAGAGGAAUGGCGAUGACCAAGUAACCUGGAAACGGAAGGUACAUCGACACGCGAUAAAAGGAGCUGUACCGCUAAGGAGGAGGAGGAGGGAGGAGGGAGGAGAACACGACCUUGGAGCUGCACAUUCAGCUGUGUCAUCCGCGAGCCGUUAACGCUCAGGUGGUUUCUCUCGAGUGCCCCAGGGACGAGCAUCAAUCACUCAAUCGGUGGACGACGACGACGAAGGCAGACGAAAGAGAGAGAGAAAAAGAGAGGCGAUGCAUGCAAGAAGAGUCGUCGGAUCCCUCGUCUCAUCUUUUUCAAUUCGACCUCUUCCAUCCUUUUAUUCACGGCCGAUCGUGAAAGAGUGGCGGCACGGGUUUUCUUGAAUCCUUCUGUAACGUCCAUUAAUCUUUGAUCGUGCUCGCGCGUUAAAAUGACACGUUGGCCGUUGAUUACGCAACCUCUGGUAAAGUGCUAAUGAAGUGCAUACACGGCCGUAAUUACCACGGAGAGUCGGAGUGACCUGCCCACUUUUCACGCUGGUUGAUCGGAACGGCGGUUGGGAAAAGAUAGGAGAGAGAGAGAGAGAGAGAGAGA